AGUUCGGAUUGUAGUCUGCAACCGACUACAUGAAGCUGGAAUCGCUAGUAAUCGCGGAUCAGAAUGCCGCGGUGAAUACGUUCCCGGGUCUUGUACACACCGCCCGUCACACCAUGGGAGUCGGAAAUGCCCGAAGUCUGUGACCCAACCUUAGGGAGGGAGCAGCCGAAGGCAGGUCGGAUGACUGGGGUGAAGUCGUAACAAGGUAUC
rnacentral:rRNA from 1 species